rnacentral:misc_RNA from 1 species
AACGCACCUUGCGCCCUUUGGUAUUCCGAAGGGCAUGCCUGUUCGAGUGUCUUGAAUUCAUCGCGACCCGAGGUUUGCUUUGCGAGCCUUCCGGGACCGCGGAAGUGGGGGCCUGCCGCCGCGAGGCGGCUCCCCUCAAAUGCAUCGGUGGGGUCUCCGGACAUCCCGGGCGUUGUACUGUCCUCGUCCGAACAUGGGUUCCGGUUCAAGCCCCCGCCUCGACCGUUCCGUGCGAGCGGCGGUCUUUUGCGGCUUUGCUGCCGAACGAAAUCUGACCUCGAAUCAGGUAGGACUACCCGCUGAACUUAA